AUGUACAUGCCUACAACAUUCAUGCAGUAAAUCCCAUUAGAACUCCACAAUUAAGCAUGAUUGGACUAGAGUAGUUCUAGGAUGGGUGACCUCCCAAGAAGUCCUAGUGUUUUACAUG
rfam:Picea glauca, whole genome shotgun sequence.